rnacentral:sRNA from 1 species
GACAGAGUUAGGGAGGGAGUGGGUGACACAGUGACAGAGUUAGGGAGGGAGUGACUAGUGACAGAGAGAGGGAUGGGGUGACUAGUGACAGUCACCACCUCCCUCACUCUGUCACUAGUCACCACCUCCCUCCGUCACUGUGUCACCCCCUCCCUCACUCUGUCACCAGUCAUCCCCUUACUCUGUCACUAGUCACCCCUCCCUCACUCUGCCACUAGUCACCCCUUCCCUCACUCCCUCACUCUGUCACCUGUCACCCCCUCACUCUGUCACUAGUCACCCCUCACUCUAGU